CAACUCCAUUACAAAAAAAAAUAUUACAAAGUUCAAUAGUUACACCUAACCAUAACUUAAAAUAGCUAAAAUACAAAUAUGUUUUUACGGGCAAACCAACAUAAAAUCAACAGAAGAGUUUACACAAUCUCUCUAAUUUGAUUCCUAAAACUAGACAAGCCAAUGCCCACAACCUCAAUAUCCUCAUGGUUGAUAAUAUUUAAGGUUCUUUCGAUAGGGGAGUGAGUGGCAUAGUUGGUACUGUGAAAAGGCAAAGCAAAUAGUCGGUUUCGUCUCAAGAGUCUUGAGGGGACAUUAAAGCUAAUUCUACCGAGAAGGUCGGGGCAUACAAUCAGACCAUUAAGAAGCUCAAAUACAAAGGUUAAAUCACCACGAAUACGUCUUUCUUUCAAUGUUGUCAUAGCCAGCACUUCCCGUGCAUCAUCAUAAACAUGAUCGUUCGGGCCAGACAGCUGUUCAUGUAAUAGGGGGACCAUAUCAUUGAGCCAUACUCCAAUAAAGAAACCACCAAAGACAUGUACACUCUCUUACAGGUCUCGACUGAUAGCUCUCUACAGUUACGCAGAACAAAACCCAGAACCCUGGAGGACCUAACCACUAUAUUAUUUAUGUGUAUAUUAAAAUUUAAAUGAUCGUCAAAAUAAAUGCCAAGAUCCUUGAUUGUAUCAGAAUACUGAACAGGGCUUCCCUCUAUAUUGUAUGAUGUUACAACUUUUUUACUUCUUUUGUGAAAACUAAUAUAAUUACAUUUCUUUAUGUUUAAGAAUAAGAUAUUGUUGACACACCAAUCAUUUAGCCUAUUCAGGUCAUUCUGUAACAAAAUUUGGUCUUUGGGAGUCUGGAUUACUCUAUAAAAUUUCAGGUCAUCUGCAAACAAUAAAAAGGCACUAUUUUCAAAACAUAUAGCUAUAUCAUUAAUGAAAAUGUUAAAGAGCAAUGGUGAGCAGUGUCCACCCUGAGGUACACCAGAACAUACAUUGAUAUUGCUGGAUCUAGCACUACCCAAUCUAACCU